GUAGGUGAACCUGCGGAAGGAUCAUUAAUAACGCCCCGUUUUUGUCGCAAGAUUUAAAUGGGUUCAAUACCCAAAACCGUGUCUACCUACCUUUGUUGCUUUGGCAGGCCGCCUUCGGGCGUCGGCUUCGGCUGAUUAGCGCUUGCCAGAGGCCCAAAACUCUGUGUUUAGUGAUGUCUGAGUACUAUAAAAUAUUUAAAACUUUCAACAACGGAUCUCUUGGUUCUG
rnacentral:misc_RNA from 1 species